AUCUAUAUAGUUUAACAAAAACAUUUUAUUUUCAUUAAAAAAAAGAUUAAUUAUCUAUAGAUU
rnacentral:tRNA from 1 species